rnacentral:rRNA from 1 species
UACGAAGGGUCCAAGCGUUAUCCGGAUUUAUUGGGCUUAAAGGGUGCGUAGGCGGCUUAUUAAGUCAGUGGUGAAAGACUUCAGCUUAACUGAAGAACUGCCAUUGAUACUGAUGAGCUUGAGUACAGUUGAGGUGGGCGGAAUGUGUCAUGUAGCGGUGAAAUGCUUAGAUAUGACACAGAACACCGAUUGCGAAGGCAGCUCGCUAAACUGUAACUGACGCUGAGGCACGAAAGCGUGGGGAGCAAACAGG